CAGGAGAUUUUUGUGUUCCGCCGGGGGAAACUAGCAAUCAAUAAGCGGAGGAAAAGAAACCAACAGGGAUUGCCCCAGUAACGGCGAGUGAAGCGGCAACAGCUCAAAUUUGAAAUCUGGCUCCUAGAGUCCGAAUUGUAAUUUGCAGAGGAUGCUUUUGAUGCGGUGCCUUCCGAGUUCCCUGGAACGGGACGCCAUAGAGGGUGAGAGCCCCGUCUGGUCGGAUGCCAAAUCUCUGUAAAGCUCCUUCGACGAGUCGAGUAGUUUGGGAAUGCUGCUCUAAAUGGGAGGUAUAUGUCUUCUAAAGCUAAAUAUUGGCCAGAGACCGAUAGCGCACAAGUAGAGUGAUCGAAAGAUGAAAAGCACUUUGAAAAGAGGGUUAAAAAGUACGUGAAAUUGUUGAAAGGGAAGCGCCUAUGACCAGACUUGGGCCCGGUGAAUCAUCCAGCGUUCUCGCUGGUGCACUUUGCCGGGCACAGGCCAGCAUCAGUUUGCCUUGGGGGAAAAAGGCUUUGGGAAUGUAGCUCCCUCGGGAGUGUUAUAGACCAUUGCACAAUACCCUGGGGCGGACUGAGGUUCGCGCAUCUGCAAGGAUGCUGGCGUAAUGGUCAUCAGCGACCCGUCUUGAAACACGGACCAAGGAGUCGUCUUCGUAUGCGAGUGUUCGGGUGUAAAACCCCUACGCGUAAUGAAAGUGAACGCAGGUGAGAGCUUCGGCGCAUCAUCGACCGAUCCUGAUGUUCUCGGAUGGAUUUGAGUAAGAGCAUACGGGGCCGGACCCGAAAGAAGGUGAACUAUUCCUGUAUAGGGUGAAGCCAGAGGAAACUCUGGUGGAGGCUCGCAGCGGUUCUGACGUGCGAAUCGAUCGUCAAAUAUGGGAAUGGGGGCGAAAGACUAAUCGAACCUUCUAGUAGCUGGUUUCCGCCGAGU
rnacentral:rRNA from 1 species